rnacentral:rRNA from 1 species
GACGAACGCUGGCGGUGUGCUUAACACAUGCAAGUGGAGCGACGAACCAGAGCUUGCUCUGGGGCAGAGCCGCGAACGGGUGAGUAACACGUGGGUAACCUACCCUGAUGACUGGGACAACCCGAGGAAACUCGGGCUAAUACCGGAUGUGCUCUCCUCUCACGAGAGAGGCGAGUAAAGGAAGCUUCGGCCUCCGCAUCAGGAGGGGCCCGCGGCCCAUUAGUUUGUUGGUGGGGUAACGGCCUACCAAGACUGCGAUGGGUAGCUGGUCUGAGAGGACGAUCAGCCACACUGGGACUGAGACACGGCCCAGACUCCUACGGGAGGCAGCAGUGGGGAAUCUUGCGCAAUGCGCGACAGCGUGACGCAGCAACACCGCGUGGGGGAAGAAGGCCUUCGGGUUGUAAACCCCUUUCAGGAGGGACGAAGGCCGGCCGGUGAAUAGCCGUGCCGGUUGACGGUACCUCCACAAGAAGCCCCGGCUAACUACGUGCCAGCCGCCGCCGUAACAC